rnacentral:lncRNA from 1 species
GUUCGUUGCGAAAAAAUCCACUCGAGUUUCGCUACCCGGCAAUAUGCAAUCGGGUGCCGAAAUGCACCCGUUUUGCAUCAUUUUUCGUUCCGGAACCGAAUGCUCAAAAACACUCCCAAACAUGUUCUAGGGUAUAAUUAGGAAGAUUGCAUGCGUUCGUUGCGAAAAAAUCCACCCGAGUUUCGCUACCCGGCAAUAUGCAAUCGGGUGCCGAAAUGCACCCGUUUUGCAUCAUUUUUCGUUCCGGAACCGAAUGCUAAAAAACACUCCCAAACAUGUUCUAGGGUAUAAUUAUGAAGAUUGCAUGCGUUCGUUGCGAAAAAAUCCACCCGAGUUUCGCUACCCGGCAAUAUGCAUUCGGGUACCGAAAUGCACCCGUAUUGCAUCAUUUUUCGUUCCGGAACCGAAUGCUCAAAAACACUACCAAACAUGUUCUAGGGUAUAAUUAUGAAGAUUGCAUGCGUUCGUUGCGAAAAAAUCUAAUCGAGUUUCGCUACACGGAAAAAGUGCAUUCGGGUGCCGAAAUGCACCCGUUUUGCAUCAUUUUUCGUUCCGGAACCGAAUGCUCAAAAACACUCCCAAACAUGUUCUAGGGUAUAAUUAUGAAGAUUGCAUGCGUUCGUUGCGAAAAAAUCCACCCGAGUUUCGCUACACGGAAAAAGUGCAUUCGGGUGCCGAAAUGCACCCGUUUUGCAUCAUUUUUCGUUCCGGAACCGAAUGCUCAAAAACACUCCCAAACAUGUUUUAGGGUAUAAUUAGGAAGAUUGCAUGCGUUCGUUGCGAAAAAAUCCACUCGAGUUUCGCUACCCGGCAAUAUGCAUUCGGGUGCCGAAAUGCACCCGUUUUGCAUCAUUUUUCAUUCCGGAACCGAAUGCUCAAAAACACUCCCAAACAUGUUCUAGGGUAUAAUUAUGAAGAUUGCAUGCGUUCGUUGCGAAAAAAUCCACCCGAGUUUCGCUACCCGGCAAUAUGCAUUCGGGUACCGAAAUGCACCCGUUUUGCAUCAUUUUUCGUUCCGGAACCGAAUGCUAAAAAACACUCCCAAACAUGUUCUAGGGUAUAAUUAUGAAGAUUGCAUGCGUUCGUUGCGAAAAAAUCCACCCGAGUUUCGCUACCCGGCAAUAUGCAUUCGGGUGCCGAAAUGCACCCGUUUUGCAUCAUUUUUCGUUCCGGAACCGAAUACUCAAAAACAAACUCCCAAACAUGUUCUAGUGUAUAGUUAGGAAGAUUGGAUGCGUUCGUUGCGAGAAAAUCCACCCGAGUUUCGCUACCCGGAAAUAGUGCAUUCGGGUGCCGAAAUGCACCCAUUUUGCAUCAUUUUUCGUUCCGGAACCGAAUGCUCAAAAACACUCCCAAACAUGUUCUAGGGUAUAAUUAGGAAUAUUGCAUGCGUUCGUUGCGAAAAAAUCCACCCGAGUUUCGCUACCUGGCAAUAUGCAUUCGGGUGCCGAAAUGCACCCGUUUUGCAUCAUUUUUCGUUCCGGAACCGAAUGCUCAAAAACACUCCCAAACAUGUUUUAGGGUAUAAUUAGGAAGAUUGCAUGCGUUCGUUGCGAAAAAAUCCACUCGAGUUUCGCUACCCGGCAAUAUGCAAUCGGGUGCCGAAAUGCACCCGUUUUGCAUCAUUUUUCGUUCCGGAACCGAAUGCUCAAAAACACUCCCAAACAUGUUCUAGGGUAUAAUUAGGAAGAUUGCAUGCGUUCGUUGCGAAAAAAUCCACCCGAGUUUCGCUACCCGGCAAUAUGCAAUCGGGUGCCGAAAUGCACCCGUUUUGCAUCAUUUUUCGUUCCGGAACCGAAUGCUAAAAAACACUCCCAAACAUGUUCUAGGGUAUAAUUAUGAAGAUUGCAUGCGUUCGUUGCGAAAAAAUCCACCCGAGUUUCGCUACCCGGCAAUAUGCAUUCGGGUACCGAAAUGCACCCGUAUUGCAUCAUUUUUCGUUCCGGAACCGAAUGCUCAAAAACACUACCAAACAUGUUCUAGGGUAUAAUUAUGAAGAUUGCAUGCGUUCGUUGCGAAAAAAUCUAAUCGAGUUUCGCUACACGGAAAAAGUGCAUUCGGGUGCCGAAAUGCACCCGUUUUGCAUCAUUUUUCGUUCCGGAACCGAAUGCUCAAAAACACUCCCAAACAUGUUCUAGGGUAUAAUUAUGAAGAUUGCAUGCGUUCGUUGCGAAAAAAUCCACCCGAGUUUCGCUACACGGAAAAAGUGCAUUCGGGUGCCGAAAUGCACCCGUUUUGCAUCAUUUUUCGUUCCGGAACCGAAUGCUCAAAAACACUCCCAAACAUGUUUUAGGGUAUAAUUAGGAAGAUUGCAUGCGUUCGUUGCGAAAAAAUCCACUCGAGUUUCGCUACCCGGCAAUAUGCAUUCGGGUGCCGAAAUGCACCCGUUUUGCAUCAUUUUUCAUUCCGGAACCGAAUGCUCAAAAACACUCCCAAACAUGUUCUAGGGUAUAAUUAUGAAGAUUGCAUGCGUUCGUUGCGAAAAAAUCCACCCGAGUUUCGCUACCCGGCAAUAUGCAUUCGGGUACCGAAAUGCACCCGUUUUGCAUCAUUUUUCGUUCCGGAACCGAAUGCUAAAAAACACUCCCAAACAUGUUCUAGGGUAUAAUUAUGAAGAUUGCAUGCGUUCGUUGCGAAAAAAUCCACCCGAGUUUCGCUACCCGGCAAUAUGCAUUCGGGUGCCGAAAUGCACCCGUUUUGCAUCAUUUUUCGUUCCGGAACCGAAUACUCAAAAACAAACUCCCAAACAUGUUCUAGUGUAUAGUUAGGAAGAUUGGAUGCGUUCGUUGCGAGAAAAUCCACCCGAGUUUCGCUACCCGGAAAUAGUGCAUUCGGGUGCCGAAAUGCACCCAUUUUGCAUCAUUUUUCGUUCCGGAACCGAAUGCUCAAAAACACUCCCAAACAUGUUCUAGGGUAUAAUUAGGAAUAUUGCAUGCGUUCGUUGCGAAAAAAUCCACCCGAGUUUCGCUACCCGGCAAUAUGCAUUCGGGUGCCGAAAUGCACCCGUUUUGCAUCAUUUUUCGUUCCGGAACCGAAUGCUCAAAAACACUCCCAAACAUGUUCUAGGGUAUAAUUAGGAAGAUUGCAUGCGUUCGUUGCGAAAAUAUCCACCCGAGUUUCGCUACCCGGCAAUAUGCAUUCGGGUGCCGAAAUGUACCCGUUUUGCAUCAUUUUUCGUUCCGGAACCGAAUGCUCAA